rnacentral:rRNA from 1 species
CUAUCUGCAGUCGAGCGAAUGGAUUAAGAGCUUGCUCUUAUGAAGUUAGCGGCGGACGGGUGAGUAACACGUGGGUAACCUGCCCAUAAGACUGGGAUAACUCCGGGAAACCGGGGCUAAUACCGGAUAACAUUUUGAACCGCAUGGUUCGAAAUUGAAAGGCGGCUUCGGCUGUCACUUAUGGAUGGACCCGCGUCGCAUUAGCUAGUUGGUGAGGUAACGGCUCACCAAGGCAACGAUGCAUAGCCGACCUGAGAGGGUGAUCGGCCACACUGGGACUGAAACACGGCCCAAACUCCUACGGGAGGCAGCAGUAGGGAAUCUUCCGCAAUGGACGAAAGUCUGACGGAGCAACGCCGCGUGAGUGAUGAAGGCUUUCGGGUCGUAAAACUCUGUUGUUAGGGAAGAACAAGUGCUAGUUGAAUAAGCUGGCACCUUGACGGUACCUAACCAGAAAGCCACGGCUAACUACGUGCCAGCAGCCGCGGUAAUACGUAGGUGGCAAGCGUUAUCCGGAAUUAUUGGGCGUAAAGCGCGCGCAGGUGGUUUCUUAAGUCUGAUGUGAAAGCCCACGGCUCAACCGUGGAGGGUCAUUGGAAACUGGGAGACUUGAGUGCAGAAGAUGAAAGUGGAAUUCCAUGUGUAGCGGUGAAAUGCGUAGAGAUAUGGAGGAACACCAGUGGCGAAGGCGACUUUCUGGUCUGUAACUGACACUGAGGCGCGAAAGCGUGGGGAGCAAACAGGAUUAGAUACCCUGGUAGUCCACGCCGUAUACGAUGAGUGCUAAGUGUUAGAGGGUUUCCGCCCUUUAGUGCUGAAGUUAACGCAUUAGGCACUCCGCCUGGCGAGUACGGCCGCAAGGCUGAUACUCAGAGGAAUUGACAGGCGGCCCGCACAAGCGGUGGAGCAUGUGGUUUAAUUUAAAGCACA